GUAGGUGGCAAGCGUUGUCCGGAAUUAUUGGGCGUAAAGCGCGCGCAGGGCGGUCCUUUAAGUCUGAUGUGAAAGCCCACGGCUCAACCGUGGAGGGUCAUUGGAAACUGGGGGACUUGAGUACAGAAGAGGAAAGCGGAAUUCCAAGUGUAGCGGUGAAGUGCGUAGAGAUUUGGAGGAACACCAGUGGCGAAGGCGGCUUUCUGGUCCGUAACUGACGCUGAGGCGCGAAAGCGUGGGGAGCAAACAGGAUUAGAUACCCUGGUAGUCCACGCCGUAAACGAUGAGUGCUAAGUGUUAGGGGGUUUCCGCCCCUUAGUGCUGCAGCUAACGCAUUAAGCACUCCGCCUGGGGAGUACGGCCGCAAAGGCUG
rnacentral:rRNA from 1 species